CCAGCAAUGCCGCGUGAGUGAUGAAGGCCUUCGGGUUGUAAAGCUCUUUCGCACGCGACGAUGAUGGCGGUAGCGUGAGAAGAAGCCCCGGCUAACUUCGUGCCAGCAGCCGCGGUAAUACGAAGGGGGCUAGCGUUGUUCGGAAUUACUGGGCGUAAAGGGCGCGUAGGCGGUGUGUCAAGUCAGGCGUGAAAGCCCCGGGCUCAACCUGGGAACCGCGCUUGAGACUGGCACGCUAGAGUUCGGGAGAGGAUGGUGGAAUUCCCAGUGUAGAGGUGAAAUUCGUAGAUAUUGGGAAGAACACCGAUGGCGAAGGCAGCCAUCUGGACCGACACUGACGCUGAGGCGCGAAAGCGUGGGGAGCAAACAGGAUUAGAUACCCUGGUAGUCCACGCCGUAAACGAUGAGUGCUAGACGUCGGGGUCCUUAGGGCUUCGGUGUCGCAGCUAACGCGUUAAGCACUCCGCCUGGGGAGUACGGCCGCAAGGUUA
rnacentral:rRNA from 1 species